AAUUUUUUGUAGUUAUUAGCAAGAAAGUGUACCUGACAUAAAGAUGAUGGGAGUUUAUUUAUUUUAUGAAGUUUUUCACAUACAAACCUUUAUCAGAUUGUUAUACCGAUCCUGGGAAAUGAGGAAAAGAGAAACUAAAAAUCCAGAA